UACGGGGGGGGCAAGCGUUGUUCGGAAUUACUGGGCGUAAAGGGCUCGUAGGCGGCCAACUAAGUCAGACGUGAAAUCCCUCGGCUUAACCGGGGAACUGCGUCUGAUACUGGAUGGCUUGAGAUUGGGAGAGGGAUGCGGAAUUCCAGGUGUAGCGGUGAAAUGCGUAAAUAUCUGGAGGAACACCGGUGGCGAAGGCGGCAUCCUGGACCAACACUGACGCUGAGGAGCGAAAGCCAGGGGAGCAAACGGG
rnacentral:rRNA from 1 species